AUUGAACGCUGGCGGAAUGCUUUACACAUGCAAGUCGAACGGCAGCACGGGGGCAACCCUGGUGGCGAGUGGCGAACGGGUGAGUAAUACAUCGGAACGUGCCCAGUCGUGGGGGAUAACUACGCGAAAGCGUAGCUACUACCGCAUACGAUCUACGGCUGAAAGCGGGGGAUCGCAAGACCUCGCGCGAUUGGAGCGGCCGAUGGCAGAUUAGGUAGUUGGUGGGGUAGAGGCUCACCAAGCCUGCGAUCUGUAGCUGGUCUGAGAGGACGACCAGCCACACUGGGACUGAGACACGGCCCAGACUCCUACGGGAGGCAGCAGUGGGGAAUUUUGGACAAUGGGCGCAAGCCUGAUCCAGCCAUUCCGCGUGCAGGAUGAAGGCCCUCGGGUUGUAAACUGCUUUUGUACGGAACGAAACGGUGCUUUCUAAUACAGAGCGCUAAUGACGGUACCGUAAGAAUAAGGAUCGGCUAACUCCGUGCCAGCCGCCGCAGUAAGAC
rnacentral:rRNA from 1 species